rnacentral:rRNA from 1 species
CCUUACCAACCCUUGACAUCCUGUGCUACAUCCAGAGAUGGAUGGUUCCCUUCGGGGACGCAGUGACAGGUGCUGCAUGGCUGUCGUCAGCUCGUGUCGUGAGAUGUUCGGUUAAGUCCGGCAACGAGCGCAACCCACAUCCUUAGUUACCAGCGGUUCGGCCGGGAACUCUAAGGAAACUGCCCGUGAUAAGCGGGAGGAAGGUGUGGAUGACGUCAAGUCCUCAUGGCCCUUACGGGUUGGGCUACACACGUGCUACAAUGGCAGUGACAAUGGGUUAAUCCCCAAAAACUGUCUCAGUUCGGAUUGGGGUCUGCAACUCGACCCCAUGAAGUCGGAAUCGCUAGUAAUCGCGUAACAGCAUGACGCGGUGAAUACGUUCCC